AUAAUGAUACUUCCCUAAGGGGGCUGGCGGAAAACCCGGCAGAGGUGAAACUCCUAUGA
rnacentral:ncRNA from 1 species